rnacentral:rRNA from 1 species
UACGUAGGGUGCGAGCGUUGUCCGGAAUUAUUGGGCGUAAAGAGCUCGUAGGCGGUCUGUCGCGUCGGUCGUGAAAACCUGGGGCUCAACUCCAGGCCUGCAGUCGAUACGGGCAGACUAGAGUUCGGUAGGGGAGACUGGAAUUCCUGGUGUAGCGGUGAAAUGCGCAGAUAUCAGGAGGAACACCGGUGGCGAAGGCGGGUCUCUGGGCCGAUACUGACGCUGAGGAGCGAAAGCGUGGGGAGCGAACAGG